GGGCCGUUAGCUCAGUCGGUAGAGCAGUGGACUUUUAAUCCAUUGGUCGAAGGUUCGAAUCCUUCACGACCCACCA
rnacentral:tRNA from 1 species